rnacentral:lncRNA from 1 species
AUAAUCACAGUGGGCGUUAGCGAGCUUUAUCUCGGUGCCAGGCACCGGGCUACCGCUUCUCGUUCCUCAUCGUUUGUCCUCACACCGACCCUGGAGGGGAGGCAGACGAGAAAACUGAGGCUGGCAGACGUCUGCCUAAGGUCUCACAACUAGAAAACUCCAUCCUCCUUCUGGUCUCAGUUUCCCCGUCUGUGGAAGGGGAAGGUUGCACCUGGGACUUGCCAACUGACAAGGGCAGGAGGGAGACCACAGACUUGCCUGGGGUUGGGCUGAGCGUAACACCGCGGCUUUGAAGGCUCACUAGUCCCUGGCUGCAAAUGCCUUCGAUGCCACAAGCAAGAGGAGAGAUGCGGAGUGGGGACCGUCCCCGUGACCUGGCACCCCCUCGUCAAAGCUGUGCCCCUUUGAGUGCCCAGGGUCCUGCCAGAGCUCAGCCAGGGACUCAAAGGUGUGCCCUUUGCCUUGCUGAUCUCCUCACUUCUGGGCUGGAACAUGGAAAUGACUCACUUUACAGAUGAGGGAACUGAGGCACAGAGUGGGGAAGAGUCUUGCCUGAGUUACGCAGACCUGGCUCCUACUGGCUCAAAGAGAGGGGGCUGUUAAAGGCUCAUGGAUUUUGCAAGCCCGAUUUCACUGGCGCUUUGAACUCAGCUGCAAGUGUAAGUAUUUACACCACGGCAAUUGGCAACUGACGCAAACCAAGAUUUUGUGGUUUUUUUGUUUACUGGUUUGCUUUGUUUCUUCCUUUCAGGCAGCCGGUGGUGAAACAUUUACCAGCUCACCACUGACUGGAGGCCAGCCACAGCUUUUAGAGACAGUGUCUCUAGAAGGGUCCCUAGCUUAGAAAGUUGCAGAGAUUUUCAAGACCGCACCCUCGUCUCCAGAUCUGUCACGGAUCUGAGGCUGACGCCAAAGACAAAGAAAUUUCUUCCUUCUCUCGUGAUGCCAACAGCUAGCUUCUCUCUCUACUCCACCAUAAUAACAUCCCAUCCUGUGCAAGAAGACUGUCCCGGCUGUCCCUUGGGGCAGGGAUUAAAGGUACUACAGGGUUCAGAGCGCCUGGCCAGCUCGCCCUAACCUCUGAUACCGUGUGAUCAAUUCCAUAAAUAUUUACCAAGCUCCUCACUUAACCUCCCUGAGACUGUCCCUUCAGCUGUAAAAAAAAAAAAAAAAAAAAAAAAAAACCAAGAAAAACUC